GACGAACGCUGGCGGCGUGCUUAACACAUGCAAGUCGAACGGAAAGGCCCUGCUUUUGUGGGGUGCUCGAGUGGCGAACGGGUGAGUAACACGUGAGUAACCUGCCCUUGACUGUGGGAUAACUUCAGGAAACUGGGGCUAAUACCGGAUAGGAGCUCCUGCUGCAUGGUGGGGGUUGGAAAGUUUCGGCGGUUGGGGAUGGACUCGCGGCUUAUCAGCUUGUUGGUGGGGUAGUGGCUUACCAAGGCUUUGACGGGUAGCCGGCCUGAGAGGGUGACCGGCCACAUUGGGACUGAGAUACGGCCCAGACUCCUACGGGAGGCAGCAGUGGGGAAUAUUGCACAAUGGGCGGACGCCUGAUGCAGCAACGCCGCGUGCGGGAUGACGGCCUUCGGGUUGUAAACCGCUUUCGCCUGUUACGAAGCGUGAGUGACGGUAAUGGGUAAAGAAGCACCGGCUAACUACGUG
rnacentral:rRNA from 1 species